rnacentral:snoRNA from 9 species
GCAUGGCUGAAUACUGUGUUUUUUUAUCAGUAGUUUACACAGCCAGACACCAUGCAAAAGUAAAGUCUUCUUUUAAAAUAACUAUGAUGUUAUGCUAUGUUUUUUAUAGCAUAUCAUUAUUAAAAGUGGAUACAAAU